GAUGAACGCUGGCGGCGUGCCUAACACAUGCAAGUCGAGCGAUUUACUUCGGUAAAGAGCGGCGGACGGGUGAGUAACGCGUGGGUAACCUGCCUCAUACACAUGGAUAACAUACCGAAAGGUAUGCUAAUACAGGAUAAUAUAAGAGAUUCACAUGGAUUUCUUAUCAAAGCUCCGGCGGUAUGAGAUGGACCCGCGUCUGAUUAGCUAGUUGGUAAGGUAAUGGCUUACCAAGGCGACGAUCAGUAGCCGACCUGAGAGGGUGAUCGGCCACAUUGGAACUGAGACACGGUCCAAACUCCUACGGGAGGCAGCAGUGGGGAAUAUUGCACAAUGGGCGAAAGCCUGAUGCAGCAACGCCGCGUGAGUGAUGAAGGCCUUCGGGUCGUAAAACUCUGUCCUCAAGGAAGAUAAUGACGGUACUUGAGGAGGAAGCCCCGGCUAACUACGUGCCAGCAGCCGCGGUAAUACGUAGGGGGCUAGCGUUAUCCGGAUUUACUGGGCGUAAAGGGUGCGUAGGUGGUUUUUUAAGUCAGAUGUGAAAGGCUACGGCUCAACCGUAGUAAGCUCUUGAAACUGGAAAACUUGAGUGCAGGAGAGGAAAGUGGAAUUCCUAGUGUAGCGGUGAAAUGCGUAGAUAUUAGGAGGAACACCAGUAGCGAAGGCGGCUUUCUGGACUGUAACUGACACUGAGGCACGAAAGCGUGGGGAGCAAACAGGAUUAGAUACCCUGGUAGUCCACGCCGUAAACGAUGAGUACUAGGUGUCGGGGGUUACCCCCCUCGGUGCCGCAGCUAACGCAUUAAGUACUCCGCCUGGGGAGUACGCUCGCAAGAGUGA
rnacentral:rRNA from 1 species